rnacentral:antisense_RNA from 1 species
GGGUGCUCUUGGCUUUUUAGCAAGAGCAUGGAAAUGCUGUUAUGUAACUUGCUAGAAAGUUGAAAGCCCCGAAUGAACUAUAAAUUCAAACGAGGCCUACAAUGUACCUAAGCAAUACAAAUAGUAGCCUCUUUACUUUUAGGAGGCAAGAUAUGCCGAAAAG